rnacentral:rRNA from 1 species
GCAAGUCGAACGAGAACGGAUUAAAGCUUGCUUUAAUUGUCAGCUAAGUGGCGCACGGGUGAGUAAUAUAUAGGUAACGUGCCUUCAAGAAGGGGAUAACGUUUGGAAACGAACGCUAAUACCCUAUAUGCCUUUAAGACUUAAGUCUGCAAGGGAAAUAUUUAUAGCUCUAGGAUCGGCCUGUACGGUAUCAGCUAGUUGGUGAGGUAAUGGCUCACCAAGGCAAUGACGCCUAACUGGUUUGAGAGGAUGAUC